rnacentral:misc_RNA from 1 species
UCCGGUUUGACACCGGCAGUCUCCCUAGAGUGCCCGGCAUAACCCGCUGGUAACUAGGGACGAGGGUUGCGCUCGUUGCGGGACUUAACCCAACACCCCACGGCACGAGCUGACGACAGCCAUGCAGCACCUGAACCAGCAGUCCCCGAAGGGAAAGUCCUAUUUCUAGGACGGGCCGCUGUUGUCUAGUCCAGGUAAGGUUCUUCGCGUUGCGUCGAAUUGAACCACAUGCUCCACCGCUUGUGCGGGCCCCCGUCAAUUCCUUUGAGUUUUAGCCUUGCGGCCGUACUCCCCAGGCGGGGUGCUUAAUGCGUUAGCUUCGGCACAGAGGGGGUUGAUCGUCCCCCCACACCUAGCACCCAACGUUUACGGCUGGGACUAC